UACGGAGGGUACAAGCGUUAUCCGGAUUUAUUGGGUUUAAAGGGUGCGUAGGCGGGCUAUUAAGUCAGUGGUGAAAGCCCCAAGCUUAACUUGGGAACUGCCAUUGAUACUGAUGGUCUUGAGUACAUUUGAGGUGGGCGGAAUGUGUCAUGUAGCGGUGAAAUGCUUAGAUAUGACACAGAACACCGAUUGCGAAGGCAGCUCACUAAACUGUAACUGACGCUGAGGCACGAAAGCGUGGGGAGCAAACAGG
rnacentral:rRNA from 1 species